rnacentral:rRNA from 1 species
GCUGCAGUCGUACGGGCCGCAAGGCCAGUGGCGCAAGGGUGAGUAAGGCGACGGUAACCAACCCCAGGACUGGGUAUAGCCGCGGGAAACUGCGGGUAAUCCCCAGCGAUGUCGCGAGCAGGCAUCUGCUUGCGACCAAAGCUCCGGCGUCGUGGGACGGGCCGUCGUGGUAUUAGGUGGUUGGCGGGGUAACGGCCCACCAAGCCGAUGAUGCCUACCGGGCGUGCGAGCGUGGCCCGGCACACUGGGACUGAGACACUGCCCAGACUCCUACGGGAGGCUGCAGUCGAGAAUCUUCGGCAAUGGGCGCAAGCCUGACCGAGCGACGCCGCGUGGAGGACGAAGGCCUUCGGGUUGUAAACUCCUGUCGAGGGGGAAGAAGGCCGGGCAACCGGCUUGACUGAUCCCUGGAGGAAGCACGGGCUAAGUUCGUGCCAGCAGCCGCGGUAAGACGAACCGUGCGAACGUUAUUCGGAAUCACUGGGCUUAAAGCGCGUGUAGGCGGGAGGGCACGUCCGACGUUGAAAGCCCCCGGCUCAACCGGGGAACGGGCGCGGAUACGACCUUCCUGGAGGGACGUAGGGGGACCUGGAACUUCCGGUGGAGCGGUGAAAUGCGUUGAGAUCGGAAGGAACGCCCGUGGCGAAAGCGAGGUCCUGGACGUUUUCUGACGCUGAGACGCGAAAGCCAGGGGAGCGAACGGGAUUAGAUACCCCGGUAGUCCUGGCCGUAAACGAUGGGCACUGGGUAGGGGGCUCGCCGAUGGGCUCCCUGCCGUAGGGAAACCGUGAAGUGCCCCGCCUGGGGAGUAUGGUCGCAAGGCUGAAACUCAAAGGAAUUGACGGGGGCUCACACAAGCGGUG